UAAUUGAAGAGUUUGAUCAUGGCUCAGAUUGAACGCUGGCGGCAGGCCUAACACAUGCAAGUCGGGCGGUAACAGGGAGAAGCUUGCUUCUCUGCUGACGAGCGGCGGACGGGUGAGUAAUGUAUGGGGAUCUGCCUGAUGGCGGGGGAUAACUA
rnacentral:rRNA from 1 species